rnacentral:rRNA from 1 species
AGGACGAACGCUGGCGGCGUGCUUAACACAUGCAAGUGGAGCGACGAACCAGGCUUCGGCCUGGGGCAGAGCCGCGAACGGGUGAGUAACACGUGGGUAACCUGCCCUGAUGAUUGGGACAACCCGAGGAAACUCGGGCUAAUACCAAAUGUGCCCUUUGACCGCAAGGCCACUGGGGAAAGGAAGCUUCGGCCUCCGCAUCGGGAUGGGCCCGCGGCCCAUUAGCUUGUUGGUGAGGUAACGGCUCACCAAGGCUACGAUGGGUAGCUGGUCUGAGAGGACGAUCAGCCACACUGGGACUGAGACACGGCCCAGACUCCUACGGGAGGCAGCAGUGGGGAAUCUUGCGCAAUGCGCGAAAGCGUGACGCAGCAACGCCGCGUGGGGGAAGAAGGCUUUCGGGUUGUAAACCCCUUUCAGUUGGGACGAAGCUUCGCCGGUGAAUAGCCGGCUGGAGUGACGGUACCUUCAGAACGAAGCCCGGCUAACUACGUGCCAGCAGCCGCGGUAAUCUA